rnacentral:rRNA from 1 species
UACGUAGGGGCCUAGCGUUGUCCGGAAUCAUUGGGCGUAAAGAGCGUGUAGGCGGCCACUUAAGUCCUGCGUGAAAUCUUGCGGCUCAACCGCAAGCGGUCGUGGGAAACUGGGUGGCUAGAGUGCGGGAGAGGAGAGUGGAAUUCCUGGUGUAGCGGUGGAAUGCGCAGAUAUCAGGAAGAACACCCGUGGCGAAGGCGGCUCUCUGGAACGCAACUGACGCUGAGACGCGAAAGCGUGGGGAGCAAACAGG